CCUACGGGUGGCAGCAGUGGGGAAUAUUGCGCAAUGGGCGAAAGCCUGACGCAGCGACGCCGCGUGAGGGAUGAAGGUCUUCGGAUCGUAAACCUCUGUCAGUGGGGACGAAACCUGACGGUACCCACAGAGGAAGCACCGGCUAACUCCGUGCCAGCAGCCGCGGUAAUACGGGGGGUGCAAGCGUUGUCCGGAAUCAUUGGGCGUAAAGAGUUCGUAGGUGGCACGUUAAGUCUGGUGUUAAAGGCGGAAGCUCAACUUCCGUAGGGCACUGGAUACUGGCGAGCUUGAAUGCGGUAGAGGUAAAGGGAAUUCCUGGUGUAGCGGUGAAAUGCGUAGAUAUCAGGAGGAACAUCGGUGGCGUAAGCGCUUUACUGGGCCGUAAUUGACACUGAGGAACGAAAGCCGGGGUAGCAAAUGGGAUUAGAUACCCGUGUAGUC
rnacentral:rRNA from 1 species